rnacentral:lncRNA from 1 species
CACCAAUUCUGGACACGCUACCUCGAUCCAGAUGAAGGUACCCCAAGCAGCUUGAGAUGUGAUGAUGGAGACCAGUUUGAGAAGACCCAUCAUCUCUGAUUUCCCUCUGAUUAUGAAGUAAUACAACAAAGCUACAGUAAGUGGACUGAUACGGUGGUGAUUGCAAACUGUUUCUAACUUCUCUCAUUUACUGGCUGGUGUCUUUAGAGGUAGCAUUGCAUUUCAUUGGCAUAUGUUUUAUUUAGUCUUUCUAAAUUAAAAAAGUAUAUAUCUGUUAUUUUCACACAUUAGGAAGUAAGAAAGGAUGUUAAAGAUACCUAUUUCUGUUUUUAGUAAACAAAGCUUAUUGAAAAAGUCUUUUUUGUAUUUGCUAAGAAUGUUUUUCAUUAACAAUGGCUAUUUUCUAAUAUUGGAGUACACUGAUGCUUCCAUGGGUCAUUGAUGUCAGCAAAGCUUGCUUGCCUAGGCAUUCUUAUUUGUAUAAAUUAUUCUGAUGGUAAUCCGGCUAUUUCCAAACACAGUGAUCUCUUCCGAGUUCAUCCUCAUUCUUUGUAGCUGGCUCCUUCUUUAUGGCCAAAUCACUUGGCUCUGGGUGGUUUUGUUUCUAUUGCUUCUCAAACUUCCAUUCUAAUUUGAAUUUGCAUUUGUAAAAUCACUGCCCAAAUUUCUGAUCGUAAUCUAGCAAGCGUGUAAAGACAAUAAAAACAAAAGAAGUUGCAUAA